rnacentral:rRNA from 1 species
ACUCAAAUGAAUAGACGGGGGCCCGCACAAGCGGCGGAGCGUGUGGUUUAAUUCGAUGCUACACGAAGAACCUUACCCAGGCUUGACAUGAGAGUGGUAGGGAGUCGAAAGAGGACCGACCCGCAAGGGAGCUUUCACAGGUGCUGCAUGGCUGUCGUCAGCUCGUGCCGUGAGGUGUUAGGUUAAGUCCUGUAACGAGCGCAACCCGCGUCGUCAGUUACAAGUGUCUGACGAGACUGCCGGUUUCAAGCCGGAGGAAGGUGCGGACGACGUCAAGUCAGCAUGGCCUUUAUGUCUGGGGCGACACACACGCUACAAUGGGCGGUACAAAGGGAAGCCAAGCCGUGAGGUGGAGCCAAUCCCCUAAAGCCGUUCCCAGUUCGGAUUGGAGGCUGCAACCCGCCUCCAUGAAGCCGGAGUCGCUAGUAACCGCGCGUCAGCCAUAGUGCGGUGAAUACGUUCCCGGGCCUUGUACACACCGCCCGU